AAUAACCUUAGCCCUUUACCCCAUCUUUAACCUUUCCCUAACCCUACAGACCUUAGGCUUGAUGAAUAGCGCCUGGCGACUUUCAAAUCUCUCGCUCUCAAAAAAUUAAAAGCAUACUCUCUCACACACACACAAAGAAAAGGGCGAAGAACAGAGGAAAAAAAGGGAAUCAAGGGGAGGGACGCUAUAGUGACGGGAUUGGACAAAAAAAAGGGAACGGGAAGGGGAUUGGAAAGAAACAAAAAAAGAGAAGCAAUGAAACACACACACAGAGACAAACAUAAGAACGGACAAGGGAAACGAGUCUCAACAAAGGAUUUGGAGAUUAACGUAGCAGAAGGUGCUGAAGAUCAAUUCAUAAAAAAAGGGAUAUAGAUUCCUUUUGUUGCUGUAGACUUCAAACUUGUAGUUAUGAAAAAUAGAAAAUAAAAAUGGUUCUGUUGCAAAUUGAAUUACCGUGGAGGUGUUUGGUUUAGUUUGGGGUUUCCGGUGCCGAUUUCAGUUUUCAUUCGCGGUCCUUACAUUUUCGAGUUCUCCGUGAAAGAAUCAAAUUUCAGAUAUUUAAAGUUCUCAAACAACUCAGGCCUAAGUCCUGUACCUGUGCAUUUGGAAGUCUGAAGUCUGCCGCUAUCUACUUCUAUUAUUUGCUGGGCCUACCUCUCUUCAUGCCCAAACCAGAGUCACUACUUCCUCUACUGCUUUAUUUACGUUUGUUAUUGUUUCACACCUGUAUGUAACAGUUCCCAUAUUUGAUUGAAUGUUUUACUCUAUGUUUUUGAAUCAUGUAGAUAAUCCAGGAAAGCCUAAAAAAGUAGGAUUAAAAUAAGUGUUAAACUUAGUAGUAGAUAGUUAUAAUUCGUUAAUCAUUUAUACUAUUCAUCUCUUAAUCUUUACUAUCAAUUCUUACGAAGUCCUUUGGAACCAAAAAAAAUUUAGCAAAGGCUGACAGUAUUCUCUUUCAAAAAUCAGAAACAAAAUCUGAAUUAGUCUUUGAAAUCGAGCUUUCAACAAAAUAAAAUCAAACAACUACCGUUGCUCUACCGGAGGGGCUUCUAAUGAUUUCUUCAAAGUCAAAAUAUGAGAUUUGAAACUAAGGUACAUCUUAGACCCAAUUCUUUACAAUACCCUUACUUUAUUAGAGUUAUAAAUAGCCACACCAUUUAAAUACAAAGUGUUCAUAACUGAGCCUCAUCUCGCAUAUUUUAUAAAGACAAACAUUAUAUGCAUACUUUAAAAUUUUCUCAAUCAUAUAUAUAUAUAUACCAAUAUUCUUUUCAAUUUUUUUUCUAAACUCAUAUCCUUUUAAAAACUAGACACCUAUUUUCAAGUGUUAAGUUUUAAAUUAAUUAUUUAGUAAGUCGUACCUUUUUAUACACUAGUUAAGCAUAAUACAAAUAACUUGUCCUUUGAAUUUAGUUUAAGUCCGAUGGAGCUAUCUCAUGCAUAUUUUAAGGGGUGCCAACACCUUCCCCUUAAAAGAACAAACCCCUACCCAUAAUCACAACGAUAGCAGACUAAUAAAGAAUAUGACUUUAGUAAUUAAAUAGGUACCCUAGUAUACCUUUAAAUAUUAGGUGGCGACUCUCUUUCAUCAACAACAAAGAAAUCACAAGUUGAAUCUUAUUUUGACUAGUGCAAAAUAGGGUGCAACAAUUGUUAUUUAGCAUUUCAGAAUUGUAUUUCCGUUUAGAGCUCAUGACUCUAAAUUUACCAGUUCUGAAAAUUUAUUAUGUAUCGGCACUGUUGUUUAUGUUAAUUAGCUUUAGACUUGUACUAUUUUUAUUAAUUCAGCUUUUGUAUUUUGUUUUUGUUAUGCUUAGCUUACCUAGCAAGUGGGUUAGGCGUCAUCAUGGUCAGCUAGUGAAUUUGGGGUCGUGACAAAUGCUUUGAUAACUUUAUGUUGGAUGCUUUAGUUAACAUCAUGGCUAUCUUAUUCAAACACUUUAAAGAAGAUAUGUCUUUCUUUUCUCUUAUUAUGAUGCGUAUAGCCAUAGAGAAUACUUUAGUUAACUUCAAUAAGCUUUUAGUUAGCUUCACUUUACUUUAUGUUUGUAAAGCUUCAAUUAAUGUUAUGUUUAGAAAGCUUCAGUUAAUUUUAUGUUUUCAUUUUCAAUUAAAUGGAGAUUUCAAACUUUAGUAACCUAGCAGAUCCUUAUCCAAGUUAUUUGUUAGACGACGACGACGACGAGAUGAGAAGGAAUAGACAGCUUUAUGUCAAAUAGAAGUUAAGUUAAUUUUGAUGUAUUACAAAAAAUACCUAUGUAAGGAACCUUGUCAUACAUUUAGUUGCUCUGGAAAUGGUAUUUAUUCAAGAGAUAUUCAAAGUUUGGCUAUCCGAGUAUAACCAUUUAAAAACAUAAUUAUUUGACUGAAAGUCCCUUUUUGAUCUAGCUUUUUUCUUAGAUCUUCUUGGUUAGGAUGGAUACCAUCUUUUGCUCAUGUACCAAAGAAUAAUUUUUUUCAAUGAAAAAGAGGAAUAAUUUAUUUUUUUAAUUAGUCUUAUAUUUAGUAACAUGUAGCAAAGGGUUUCAGUUUGAAAACGAGAAACUAUGAACUACUCCAUCCGGUCCUAAUAUUAGUAACGGAAAAGGUCCAAAUAUGCCCGUGAACUACGUGAAAUAGGACAAAUAUGCCUGUCGUUAUUAGUUUGGCCCAAAUAUGUCCAAACCGUCCAAUAGUUGUGCAUCCAUGCCCUUAUUAGAUAGAACCAACAUUUUUUUUAAUUAUCUAAUACCAAACCCGACCUAAAUCUACCGACCAGACCCGACCCACCCACAAUUCUAAAAGACCCAAACUUAAUCCCCUACACUGUUUCGCCCCAACCCUAAAACAGACGUUCCCCCACCCCUUUCUCUCUUCCUUCUGUCAUUUUCUUCCUUCUGUCUUCUUCUUCCUAUACAAAACAUUUCCAUCUUGUUUUUUCGGGAACAACAAGUCGUUUCCAUCUUGCUUGAUCCACUCACUUUCCUUUCUUACUUCUUUCAUUUGCUUUGAAAUGUCGGAAUGUUCGAGUUCUUCAAAUAGCCAUCGAAGGAUGUGUAGAUGUGGAGUUACUACACUCCAUCUCACAUUGCGAACUGAAAUGAAUCCCAGAAGACACUUUUUCAGGUGUCAUAAGCCUGAUAAAACUGGAUGUGGUUAUUGGGAAUGGGAAGACGAUGAAUUUCCACCAAGAGCAAUUAUUGUCAUCAACAAAUUGAAAAGGAAAAAGGAUGCUCUUUUUAAAGAAAGACUUGGAAACAGGGUGCUUGGAAAUAGGGUGGAAAAAUUAUUUCUUAUGUUUUUGAGUUUCAUUAUUGGAUUUGUGUUAGUUUUAUGUUUUGAGGGAAGACUUGAAAAUAUUGUAAUUAUUUAUGGUUGUAAUUGCUUAUGGUUGUUUUAGUUGUAUAAUUUAGAUGCAUUGUAUUGUAAUGGUUGGAUGAAAAUAGUUGUAAUAUGAAUAGUAUUAUUUCUAAUGUAAUGGUUAAAAAUAUGGUUGUAAUUUAAAUGCAUUGUAAUGCUAUGGUUGUAAUUUCUCAACAACAUUGUGUGAA